AGAAGUCCAAAAUCAAAAUGUCUACAGGGCUUUGCUCCCACUGAAAACUGUAGAGGAAUGUUUUCCUGUUUCCUCUUAGCUUCUGGUGAUUUUCUGGCAAUUUCUGGUGUUCCUGUGCUUGUAGAUGCAUCAUUCCAGUCAGAUGGUCCCCUUCUCCUGAUGCGUCUUCACAUUGUCUUCCCUCUACCUGCCUCUGUGCCCACAUUUCCCUUUUUAUAAGGACACAAAUCAUAUUGGAGUAGAUCCUACCUUAAGGACCUCAUUUUAUCUUGAUUAACUUUAUGAAGAUUUUAUUUGCAAGUAAGCUUACAUUCUGAGGUAUGAGGGUUAGGAUUUCAACGUAUUUUGGGGGGAGCCAAAAUUCAACCCAUAAGAGAGGCCUACCCUCCCACCCCUAGCUAACUUUAUGUUAUUUUUUUCUUAAAUAGAAUUCACUACUUUGAUCAAUAACUAAAACAUGAGAAACUAAGUAUCUUUAAUUUAGAGUGGGCCAAGAAAUGUGUAGAUCUGGAGUCACUGAGAAAGAUACAGUACAGUAGGGAUAUUUAAAAAGAAAAAAAAGGAGCCCUGGUGCUCUGUUCUUUUAGGUUUAACAGUGGGAGAAAGCAUGGACUUUUGAGUAGGCCAGUUCUAAAAUUUGAAUCUUGACCUGUCACUUAUUGGUUCUGGAUCUGGGGGGCAACCUACUUGCUUCUGCUAAACUUGUUUCCUCAUAAGAAGAAUGAGCAUAAUGACACUUGGUAAAUAAAGGAUGGUUGAGGAAAUCAAUAAGGCUUCCAAAGCAUCUGGCACGUAUCAAUAGUAGACAUUGAGUAUAUGGAUCAUGAGUUUUGUAAAGUCUGUAUUCUGAAUAUCCCAGCAGAACUGUCAGUGGCACCCAGCCAGGUCAUCCAGUGGACCCCCCAGGGCUGCCAGAUCAGCUUGCAUUUCCUUAUAAUUAUGAACUAUCAGAACUGCGUGUGACUUCAAAAAGCAAUGUUUAUGAUUCUGGUCUACGUGUGCCAGCACUGAACUAAAUGAAGAAAAUGAAACAUUAACUGUGGAAUUUGGUCUAAUGAGGGAAACAGAUGAGGACAGGUCAUUACAAUGCUGGAUGUAGCUCUUCAGAAACUUUGUGUGAAGAGUAUAUGGAGUAUUACACUUCCGUGAGACCCAUGCCUGCUGCCCGGGGGGGAAGAGUUUUGGAUGCCAGGAAAUGGAAGUAGUCAUACUGAUGCUACCAUGAACAAGGCUCUGUGUGUUUGGAGGUCCUUGAUCCCAGAAGGAGAAUGGUUUCACUAGGAGACAAAAUAAAAACCCUAUUGAACUUUAAGUUAUUAUGGCUGCCUGGUCAUUUCAGCUCCCUCAUAUCAACAGACAAGAAGGCAAGGAAAGAAGAUAUGUCAAGAGAUUUUGAAGACAAUUUUUUGGUGUGAAAUCAAAAGCUUGAAGGAGUUCACCUGGAAUUUACAGACUGGCUAUCUGGUCCAGCUUCUUCUCUUCAGAGAUGGAAGUGGUAUUUUGUACUGAUUACAAACAGAGUGCUGGAUUUGGGAGAUGGGAGGAAAACAGACUCCUCAUAUUGACUCUGUGAUUUACUAGCUUUGUGAACUUGGGUGAAUUACCUAACUUUCCUAAGCUUCAUUUUCCACAUCUGCAAAACAGCAAUGAAGGGGUUGUUGUGAGA